rnacentral:rRNA from 1 species
AACAAACGCUGGCGGCGUGCCUAAUACAUGCAAGUCGAACGGGGAAAGCUUUCGGGUGAGUACUAGUGGCGCACGGGUGAGGAACGCGUGGAUAAUCUGCCUUAGAGUGGGGGAUAACUAGUCGAAAGAUUAGCUAAUACCGCAUAAGACCACAGGAGCUGCGGCUCAAGGGGUCAAAGGUUUUUCGCUCUAAGAUGAGUCCGCGUAAGAUUAGCUAGUUGGUGAGGUAACGGCUCACCAAGGCGACGAUCUUUAACUGGUCUGAGAGGAUGAUCAGUCACACUGGAACAGAGACACGGUCCAGACUCCUACGGGAGGCAGCAGUAGGGAAUAUUGCACAAUGGAGGAAACUCUGAUGCAGCGACGCCGCGUGAGUGAUGAAGGCCUUCGGGUCGUAAAGCUCUGUCGCAGGGGAAUAACACAAUGAAGGUACCCUGUAAGAAAGGAUCGGCUAACUUCGUGCCAGCAGCCGCAGUAAGAC